GUGACCCCGGCCUCCGCUUCCACUUCAGCCUCCCCAAAAGCAGCUACGACUCCCCCUUUGAAGAGAGAAGAUCCCUAAUACGCUCUCACUCCCAAUUUCUCUCCCACCGCGACGCCGCAGCCGCCGUCCACCACUUCCACCGCUCAUUCGCCGGAAAUAUUCUCCUAGCCGGCGGAGUUGACAGCUCAUUCAUGGAGGAUUGCGUGCUCUACGCCAUCAAUCACGGCCUUCGAUCCCUCCACCUCCACCUCCACCUCCUCCAUCCCGACUACAGCCUACUGAGGCUACCCGCAAAGUUUCUUGCCAGCAAAACGCUGCGGGAGCUCGACAUCAGAGAGUUUGGUUUCUACAGCAUUCAGCCCUUUUCCCGCCUCCCCGAGAUGGAGAAGCUAACUCUCAUCAAGUAUUUUCGUGAUGUCCCUCUUGUUAUAAAAGCUCCAAUGCUCAGACUUCUUAAACUCUACGGUUGCUACGUAGUCAGACACAGUUAUGCUCCAUUGCUUACCUCCUUUACCUACAAGUCUCCUGAUGUUUGGGAGUGUAAAGACGCGAAUCUCCCAAUGUUAGAACAAGUCUAUUUAGACAUUCAUAAGAGUAAAUUAUGUCGUCAUCACAAUCAUACCAACUUUCUUACUAUGCUUCACCAAUUACGGAGUCGGUACGCAACCACGGUUUCACUAACUUUGGACACUAUCAAGGUAUUUCUCUAUCUUCACCAAUUAAGUAUCUCCUCAUACUAAUACACUAUCAAGGUACAUUUCUCUAUUUCCUCACACAUUCUUGCUUUUUUUCUUGCUCUCUUGCUUCACCUUCACUUCGAUAGGUAAUUCUUGCCUUUUCUCUUUCUUUUAGUUACUGUAAAUCUGGUUGGUGGGAAAGGUUUUCUUGGUGGGCUCCAAAUUAUCUGGGAAUAAUAAAUGAUGUUUUCCCUGUUUGAUCCGAUUAAAAAGCUCGGAUCUUUUGUGAUUUGGAUGCAUUUUUAGCUUGCUUUAGUUGGCUAAUUCGAGAUUAAGGUAUUCACUGCUUAGUUUUCUUAAAUCAGGAAUUGGCUUUGGUUAGUAAUUGGGAAUUUAAGGUGAAUUCGGUUGCCAAUCUUGAGUUGUUGUAGAAAAAUAAAAAUUCGAUCUUGAUUCUUCUACUGCUUUCGAGCGUAUGGAAAUUCAAUCAGAAUGCUAGUGAUUUCAUUAACUUAAUCGAGGGAGAUUUAGGAUUAGUUAAUCUUGAUGUGUUGAGGUGUAAAACAACAGAAUUGAUGUAUUUAAUUUGUUGUUAAGCUUUCAGUAGGUUUUGAUUUGUAUUUGCAGAUCACAAUAGUAUAGUGUAGCUUUUGCUGUAGUUGUGUUUGAUUCAUUUGUACUGAAAUUUGAGUACCUGCUGAGAAUGCGGGGCUACAUCAUGAUUUGAUGUUCGAUGUCUUUCUUUGUCUUCGAUUUAUAAAAUGUUUACUUCGUUGUCUAUCUUCAGAAGCAUACGACGCGCUUGAUCCUAAUGGGGAUAACUGUGUUUACGACAAAACGUCUCCCUGCUGAUGUUGCUCAUCACUAUGCUCAUAGUGAUCGCAUUCCACUUCUCAUGUGUUUGAGAAUCGUCCAUCUUUAACAGCAAGGUUUAUGUCAGUGUGGCUGCCAUUGCAGAACUUCGUUGUGAAAGUCCAAGAAAAUUGACCAACUCAAGUUCUUCGUCCCUGUGUCGUUUUGAUGUAUUUCACAUGAUUCAGGUUUGGAAGCCAAUCAUCAUCACAUCAUUGCCAGAAAGAAAAACGCAACACAAAUUAUGAAUGUUGUGAGGAAAGCUCGACUCUGAGGCGCAGAGUUUGGCAGGAACGGGUAAGACUCCGGUGGGGGUAGCAUACAUUCCUCGCCGUUGAAAUAGACUUUCCGGGGAAACGCCCAUCCUUCCUUGAAGGUCAAGUUUGGAAUCGGAAUCCAUCAGAUGUCUGAUUAUAACAGUUUCUUGAUUUUAUUGAUGGCUGGUGGAUAGAUAUGAAAGAACUUACUGAUGGAGCCGUAGGGAACUAGAGGCUUGUAAUCAAAGCUGAAAACUUGAG